rnacentral:rRNA from 1 species
UACGAAGGGGGCGAGCGUUGUUCGGAAUCACUGGGCGUAAAGGGCGCGUAGGCGGCCCUCUUAGUCGCGUGUGAAAGCCCCGGGCUCAACCUGGGAACGGCGCGCGAAACGGGAGGGCUGGAGUUCGGGAGAGGAGAGUGGAAUUCCCAGUGUAGAGGUGAAAUUCGUAGAUAUUGGGAAGAACACCGGUGGCGAAGGCGGCUCUCUGGACCGAGACUGACGCUGAGGCGCGAAAGCGUGGGGAGCGAACAGG